GCCUCGUUAGCUCAGUUGGUAGAGCGUUAGACUUUUAAUCUAACAGUCAGGGGUUCGAGUCCCAUACGGGGCU
rfam:Angiostrongylus costaricensis strain Costa Rica genome assembly, scaffold: ACOC_scaffold0001648